AUGUGGCACUUUUCGAAUUACGAGAUUCAAACAAGUCUAUCUUUGACCAUAAAUUUUGCAUACAUCUUUUAAAUAUUUUGAAUUGUCAAUUAUUGUGACUUAUAGUACUUUUUACGUAGUUUAUAAAUAUAUAAAUUUCAUUUCAAAAAAUUUGAAAAUUCCAUGAGUAAAUCGUCGGUCAAACUUAAACUGUUUGACUCUCGAAAAAUGAAAAGUGCCACAUAA
rnacentral:pre_miRNA from 1 species